rnacentral:rRNA from 1 species
AAAGCGCCUGUAGGUUGUUUAAUAAGUCUGUUGUUAAAGACUAGGGCUUAACCCUAGAAAAGCAAUGGAAACUACUAGACUAGAGUAUGGCAGGGGUAGAGGGAAUUUCUAGUGUAGCGGUGAAAUGCGUAGAUAUUAGAAAGAACACCGGUGGCGAAAGCGCUCUACUGGACCAUUACUGACACUCAGAGGCGAAAGCUAGGGUAGCAAAAGGGAUUAGAUACCCCUGUAGUCCUAGCCGUAAACGAUGGAUACUAGAUGUUGUAUUUAUUUUACAGUAUCGUAGCUAACGCGUUAAGUAUCCCGCCUGGGGAGUACGCUCGCAAGGGUGAAACUCAAAGGAAUUGACGGGGGCCCGCACAAGCGGUGGAGCAUGUGGUUUAAUUCGAUGCAACGCGAAGAACCUUACCAGGGCUUGACAUACUGCGAAUCUCCUUGAAAGAGGAGAGUGCCUUCGGGAAUGCAGAUACAGGUGGUGCAUGGCUGUCGUCAGCUCGUGUCGUGAGAUGUUGGGUUAAGUCCCGCAACGAGCGCAACCCUUGUUUUUAGUUACCAAYUUGUUGGGUUUUCUAGAAAGACUGCCGGUGACAAACCGGAGGAAGGUGAGGAUGACGUCAAGUCAGCAUGCCCCUUAUGUCCUGGGCUACACACGUGCUACAAUGGUUGGGACAAAGAGUCGCAAGUUGUAAGAACAAGCUA